GUUAUCGUUUAUUUGAUAGUACCUUACUACUUGGAUAACCGUGGUAAUUCUAGAGCUAAUACAUGCUGAAAACCCCAACUUCGGGAGGGGUGUAUUUAUUAGAUAAAAAACCAACGCCCUUCGGGGCUUCUUGGUGAUUCAUGAUAACUUAACGGAUCGCAUGGCCUUGCGCCGGCGACGGUUCAUUCAAAUUUCUGCCCUAUCAACUUUCGAUGGUAAGGUAUUGGCUUACCAUGGUUUCAACGGGUAACGGGGAAUUAGGGUUCGAUUCCGGAGAGGGAGCCUGAGAAACGGCUACCACAUCCAAGGAAGGCAGCAGGCGCGCAAAUUAUCCAAUCCCGACACGGGGAGAUAGUGACAAUAAAUACUGAUACAGGGCUCUUUUGGGUCUUGUAAUUGGAAUGAGUACAAUUUAAACCUCUUAACGAGGAACAAUUGGAGGGCAAGUCUGGUGCCAGCAGCCGCGGUAAUUCCAGCUCCAAUAGCGUAUAUUAAAGUUGUUGCAGUUAAAAAGCUCGUAGUUGAACCUUGG
rnacentral:rRNA from 1 species